UACGAAGGGGGCUAGCGUUGCUCGGAAUCACUGGGCGUAAAGCGCACGUAGGCGGUUUGUUAAGUCGGAUGUGAAAUCCCUCGGCUCAACUGAGGAAGUGCAUCCGAAACUGGCAAGCUUGAGUACGAAAGAGGAUCGCGGAAUUCCCGGUGUAGAGGUGAAAUUCGUAGAUAUCGGGAGGAACACCGGUGGCGAAGGCGGCGAUCUGGGGCGAUACUGACGCUGAGGUGCGAAAGCGUGGGGAGCAAACAGG
rnacentral:rRNA from 1 species